UGUUCUGUGGCUUAGUUGGUUAAAACACCGGUCUAGCGAAUACGGAGUCAUGGGUUUGAAUCCCACCAGAACGC
rnacentral:tRNA from 1 species